rnacentral:rRNA from 1 species
AGAGUUUGAUCCUGGCUCAGGACGAACGCUGGCGGCGUGCUUAACACAUGCAAGUCGAACGGAGUGCCUAUGACAGAGGUUUCGGCCAAUUGAUUAGGUUACUUAGUGGCGGACUGGUGAGUAACGCGUGAGGAACCUGCCUUUCAGAGGGGGACAACAGUUGGAAACGACUGCUAAUACCGCAUGAUACAUUUGGGCGGCAUCGCUUGAAUGUCAAAGAUUUUAUCGCUGAAAGAUGGCCUCGCGUCUGAUUAGAUAGUUGGCGGGGUAACGGCCCACCAAGUCGACGAUCAGUAGCCGGACUGAGAGGUUGACCGGCCACAUUGGGACUGAGAUACGGCCCAGACUCCUACGGGAGGCAGCAGUGGGGAAUAUUGGGCAAUGGACGCAAGUCUGACCCAGCAACGCCGCGUGAAGGAAGAAGGCUUUCGGGUUGUAAACUUCUUUUAAGGGGGAAGAGCAGAAGACGGUACCCCUUGAAUAAGCCACGGCUAACUACGUGCCAGCAGCCGCGGUAAUACGUAGGUGGCAAGCGUUGUCCGGAUUUACUGGGUGUAAAGGGCGUGUAGCCGGGCCGACAAGUCAGAUGUGAAAUCCACGGGCUUAACCCGUGAACUGCAUUUGAAACUGUUGGUCUUGAGUAUCGGAGAGGUAACCGG